rnacentral:tRNA from 1 species
GGGUAUAAAGCUCAGUGGUAGAGCACAUGCUUAGCAUGCAUGAGGUCCUGGGUUCAAUCCCCAGUAUCUCUA